rnacentral:rRNA from 15 species
AAAUUGAAGAGUUUGAUCAUGGCUCAGAUUGAACGCUGGCGGCAGGCCUAACACAUGCAAGUCGAACGGUAACAGGAAGCAGCUU